CAGUAGCCGCGGGAACACGAAGGGGGCUAGCGUUGCUCGGAAUGACUGGGCGUAAAGGGCGCGUAGGCGGCGGCCAAAGUCAGGCGUGAAAUUCCCGGGCUCAACCUGGGGGCUGCGUUUGAUACUUGGUUGCUUGAGUGGGGAAGAGGGUCGUGGAAUUCCCAGUGUAGAGGUGAAAUUCGUAGAUAUUGGGAAGAACACCGGUGGCGAAGGCGGCGACCUGGUCCUUUACUGACGCUGAGGCGCGAAAGCGUGGGGAGCAAACAGGAUUAGAUACCCCGGUAGUCCCUGUCUCUUAUAC
rnacentral:rRNA from 1 species